GAGGGUAUAGCUCAGUGAUAGAGCAUGUGCUUAGCAUGCACAAGGUCCUGGGUUCAAUCCCCAGUACCUCCA
rfam:Camelus ferus unplaced genomic scaffold scaffold996, whole genome shotgun sequence.